rnacentral:rRNA from 1 species
CCAAUAGCGUAUAUUAAAGUUGUUGCAGUUAAAAAGCUCGUAGUUGAAUUUCGGGGUUAGUAGGUUGGUCAUGCCUCUGGUAUGUACUGGUCUCACUGAUUCCUCCUUCCUGAUGAUCCGUAAUGCCAUUUAUUUGGUGUUGCGGGGAAUUUGGACUGUUACUUUGAAAAAAUUAGAGUGUUUAAAGCAAGCUAAUGCUUGAAUACAUUAGCAUGGAAUAAUGAAAUAGGACGUUCGAUCCUAUUUUGUUGGUUUCUAGGAUUGACGUAAUGAUUAAUAGGGAUAGUUGGGGGCAUUAGUAUUCAAUUGUCAGAGGUGAAAUUCUUGGAUUUAUUGAAGACUAACUACUGCGAAAGCAUUUGCCAAGGAUGUUUUCAUUAAUCAAGAACGAAAGUUAGGGGAUCGAAGACGAUCAGAUACCGUCGUAGUCUUAACCAUAAACUAUGCCGACUAGGGAUCGGAUGAUGUUAAUUUUUUAAUGACUCAUUCGGCGCCUUACG